GCUAGCUUUGGCAGCACAAACUUAAAUUAGAAUGACACAGAGAAGAUUAGCAUGGCCCCUGAGCAAGGAUGACAUGCAAAUUCAUGAAGUGUUCCAUAUUAAA
rnacentral:snRNA from 1 species